UGUACAAUAUGAUAAAUAUGCAACUCUUAAAGAGUUCAUGGAGAAAUCAAUGGCCACUUCCUUUAAGGAGUUUCGAUAUGAGCUGCACACACAUUACAAGAAGUUUCUAGACCAACCAAUGGCUCAUAGGAAAGCUAAUAAGUCUAAAGAAAUCUGAUAUCAGGUUGAUUGGGAUUAUUUAUGUGACUAUUGGGAAAGUGAGCAGUUU
rnacentral:lncRNA from 1 species